rnacentral:tRNA from 1 species
GAGCUUAUAGCUCAGUGGUAGAGCACAUGCUUAAUAUGCAUAAGGUACUGAGUUCAAUCCCCAGUACCUCCA